GGUUCGAUCAUGGCUCAAGAUUGAACGCUGGCGGAUUCUUUUUACACAUGCAAGUCGAACGCUGGACUGGUCUGGUAGCGAGUGGCGAACGGGUGAGUAAUGUAUCGGAACGUGCCUAGUAGCGGGGGAUAACUACGCGAAAGCGUAGCUAAUGCAUACACCCUUCGGGGAAAGCGGGGGACCGGGCCUCGCUGCACUAUUAAGAGCGGCCGAUAUCGGAUUGGCUAGUUGGUGGGGCUUAACGGCUCACCAAGGCGACGAUCCGUGGCUGGUUGAGGACGACCAGCCACCACAGGACUGAACACGGCCCAGACUCCUGCGGGAGGCAGCAGUGGGGAAUUUUUGGACAAUGGGGAAACCUGAUCAGCAUCCCGCGUGUGCGAUGAAGGCCUUCGGGUUGUAAAGCACUUUUGGCAGGAAAGAAACACGGCGGGAUAAUACCCCGUGCAACUGACACCCUGCAGAAUAAGCACCGGCUAACUACAUUAUGACAGCCGCGGUAAUACGUAGGUGCAAGCGUUAAUCGGAAUUACUGGGCGUAAAGCGUGCGCAGGCGGUUCGGAAGAAAGAUCUUAAAUCCCAGAGCUUAACUUUGGAACUGCAUUUUAGCUACCGAGCUAGAGUGUGUCAGAGGAGGUGGAAUUCGCGUGUAGCAGUGAAGCCGUAGAUAUGCGGAGGAACACCGAUGGCGAAGGCAGCCUCCUGGGAUAUACGGCCAGCUCCGGCCUGCAGCGUGGGAGCAAACAGGAUUAGUCUGGUAGUCCACGCCCUAAACGAUGUCAACUAGCUGUUGGGGGCCUUCGGGCCUUGGUAGCGCAGCUAACGCGUGAAGUUGACCGCCUGGGGGAUACGGUCGCAAGAUUAAAACUCAAAGAAUUGACAGGGACCCGCACAAGCGGUGGAUGAUGUGGAUUAAUUCAGUACAGCGCGAAAAAGGCACUUACCUACCCUUGACAUACAGAUCGAAGAGAUUUGGAGUGCUCGCAAGAGAACCGGAACACAGGUGCUGCAUGGCUGUCGUCGGCCGUGUGUAUUGAGAUGUUGGGUUAAGUCCCGCAACGAGCGCAACCCUUGUCUGGUUGCUGCGAAGAGCUCUAAUGAGACUGCCGGUGACAAACCGGAAAGGUGAGGAUGACGUCAGUCCUCAUAGGCCCUUAUGGUGGGGCUUCACGUCAUGCAAUGGUCGGGACAGAGGGUCGCCAACCCACGAGGGAGCCAGUAGAAACCCGAUCGUGGUCGGAUCAUGAUCUACAACUCGACUGCGUGAAGUCGGAAUCGCUAAUGUAAUCGCGGAUCAGCAUGUCGCGGUGAAUACGUUCCCGGGUCUUAUACACACCGCCCGUCACACCAUGGGAGUGGGUUUACCAAGUAGUUAGCCUAACCAUGGCAGAGGGCGAUUACCACGGUAGGAUUCAUGACUGGGGUGAAGUCGUAACGAAUAUAUUUACUACUGGUAUCUUG
rnacentral:rRNA from 1 species